GACCUCAAAUCAGGUAGGACUACCCGCUGAACUUAAGCAUAUCAAUAAGCGGAGGAAAAGAAACUAACAAGGAUUCCCCUAGUAACUGCGAGUGAAGCGGGAAAAGCUCACAUUUAAAAUCUGGCAGUUUC
rnacentral:rRNA from 1 species